rnacentral:rRNA from 1 species
AUUGAACGCUGGCGGCGUGCCUAACACAUGCAAGUCGAGCGGUAACAGGUGUAGCAAUACAUGCUGACGAGCGGCGAACGGGUGAGUAAUGCUUCGGAAUCUGCCCAUGUAGUGGGGAAUAACCAGCCGAAAGGUUGGCUAAUACCGCAUACGACCCUUGCCCACAAGGCAAAGGUGAAAGCAGGGGAUCGCAAGACCUUGCGCUAUUGGAUGAGCCGAAGUCGGAUUAGCUAGUUGGUAGGGUAACGGCCUACCAAGGCGACGAUCCGUAGCUGGUCUGAGAGGACGACCAGCCACACUGGGACUGAGACACGGCCCAGACUCCUACGGGAGGCAGCAGUGGGGAAUUUUGGACAAUGGGGCAACCCUGAUCCAGCCAUGCCGCGUGUGUGAAGAAGGCCU